rnacentral:rRNA from 1 species
GAUGAACGCUGGCGGCGUGCCUAAUACAUGCAAGUCGAGCGAACAGACGAGGAGCUUGCUCCUCUGACGUUAGCGGCGGACGGGUGAGUAACACGUGGAUAACCUACCUAUAAGACUGGGAUAACUUCGGGAAACCGGAGCUAAUACCGGAUAAUAUAUUGAACCGCAUGGUUCAAUAGUGAAAGACGGUUUUGCUGUCACUUAUAGAUGGAUCCGCGCCGCAUUAGCUAGUUGGUAAGGUAACGGCUUACCAAGGCAACGAUGCGUAGCCGACCUGAGAGGGGGAUCGGCCACCCUGGAACUGAGACACGGUCCAGACCCCGACGGGAGGCAGCAGUAGGGAAUCUUCCGCAAUGGGCGAAAGCCUGACGGAGCAACGCCGCGUGAGUGAUGAAGGUCUUCGGAUCGUAAAACUCUGUUAUUAGGGAAGAACAAAUGUGUAAGUAACUAUGCACGUCUUGACGGUACCUAAGCAGAAAGCCACGGCUAACUACGU